rnacentral:rRNA from 1 species
AUUGAACGCUGGCGGCAUGCCUUACACAUGCAAGUCGAACGGCAGCACGGGCUUCGGUCUGGUGGCGAGUGGCGAACGGGUGAGUAAUGUAUCGGAACGUACCUUUCAGUGGGGGAUAACGUAGCGAAAGUUACGCUAAUACCGCAUAUUCUGUGAGCAGGAAAGCAGGGGAUCGCAAGACCUUGCGCUGAUUGAGCGGCCGAUAGCAGAUUAGCUAGUUGGUGAGGUAAAGGCUCACCAAGGCGACGAUCGGUAGCGGGUCUGAGAGGAUGAUCCGCCACACUGGAACUGAGACACGGUCCAGACUCCUACGGGAGGCAGCAGUGGGGAAUUUUGGACAAUGGGGGCAACCCUGAUCCAGCCAUGCCGCGUGAGUGAAGAAGGCCUUCGGGUUGUAAAGCUCUUUCGGCCGGGAAGAAAUCGCAUAGGUUAAUACCCUGUGUGGAUGACGGUACCGGAAUAAGAAGCACCGGCUAACUACGUGCCAGCAGCCGCCGCCGUAA